rnacentral:rRNA from 1 species
GUAGUCCACGCCGUAAACGAUGGAUGCUAGCUGUGGGGGGUAUCGACCCCCUCCGUAGCGAAGCUAACGCGUUAAGCAUCCCGCCUGUGGAGUACGGCCGCAAGGCUAAAACAUAAAGGAAUUGACGGGGACCCGCACAAGCGGUGGAGCGUGUUCUUUAAUUCGAUGGUAAACGAAGAACCUUACCAGGGUUUGACAUCCCGAGAAUUUUGUCGAAAGACGAGAGUGCUUUAUUGAACUCGGUGACAGAUGAUGCAUGGCCGUCGUCAGCUCGUGUCGUGAGAUGUUUGGUUAAGUCCAUCAACGAGCGCAACCCUUAUACUUAGUUGGAUUUUUCUAGGUAGACUGCCCCGGUAACGGGGA